GCCGGCAUAGCUCAGUGGUAGAGCAGCUGAUUCGUAAUCAGCAGGCCCGGGGUUCGACCCCCCGUGCCGGCU
rnacentral:tRNA from 1 species